rnacentral:rRNA from 1 species
AUUGAACGCUGGCGGCAUGCCUCACACAUGCAAGUCGAGCGCGAAAGGGGGCAACCCCGAGUAGAGCGGCGGACGGGUGAGUAACGCAUCGGAACGUGCCCAGUAGUGGGGGACAACCUCGAGAAAUCGAGGCUAAUACCGCAUACGACCCACGGGUGAAAGCGGGGGACCGCAAGGCCUCGCGCUAUUGGAGCGGCCGAUGUCCGAUUAGCUAGUUGGCGGGGUAAGAGCCCACCAAGGCGACGAUCGGUAGCUGGUCUGAGAGGACGACCAGCCACACUGGGACUGAGACACGGCCCAGACUCCUACGGGAGGCAGCAGUGGGGAAUUUUGGACAAUGGGGGCAACCCUGAAUCCAGCCAUGCCGCGUGCGGGAAGAAGGCC